rnacentral:misc_RNA from 1 species
AACGCACAUUGCGCCCUUUGGUAUUCCGAAGGGCAUGCCUGUUCGAGCGUCAUUAUCCCCCCUCAAACCUCGGGUUUGGUGUUGGACCGACGUUGGUCGUUACCCCGACCAACUGGUCUCAAAGACAAUGACGGCGUCCGUGGGACCCUCGAUACACCGAGCUUUCUUUUCGAAGCACGUACCGAGUUGCAAGGACCCACGCCCGCCGGUCGCUCUCCCCUUCUCGGAGAAAACGCAAGUUUUUUUCACAAGGUUGACCUCGGAUCAGGUAGGAAUACCCGCUGAACUUAA